rnacentral:rRNA from 1 species
GAUGAACGCUGGCGGCGUGCCUAAUACAUGCAAGUCGAGCGAACAGACGAGGAGCUUGCUCCUCUGACGUUAGCGGCGGACGGGUGAGUAACACGUGGAUAACCUACCUAUAAGACUGGGAUAGCUUCGGGAAACCGGAGCUAAUACCGGAUAAUAUAUUGAACCGCAUGGUUCAAUAGUGAAAGACGGUUUUGCUGUCACUUAUAGAUGGAUCCGCGCCGCAUUAGCUAGUUGGUAAGGUAACGGCUUACCAAGGCAACGAUGCGUAGCCGACCUGAGAGGGUGAUCGGCCACACUGGAACUGAGACACGGUCCAGACUCCUAAGGGAGGCAGCAGUAGGGAAUCUUCCGCAAUGGGCGAAAGCCUGACGGAGCAACGCCGCGUGAGUGAUGAAGGUCUUCGGAUCGUAAAACUCUGUUAUUAGGGAAGAACAAAUGUGUAAGUAACUAUGCACGUCUUGACGGUACCUAAUCAGAAAGCCACGGCUAACUACGUG